rnacentral:rRNA from 1 species
UACAGAGGCCUCGAGCGUUAGGCGGAAUCACUGGGCUUAAAGCGUGUGUAGGCGGACGCCUAAGUGUCUUGUGAAAUCCCACGGCUCACCCGUGGAACUGCUGGGCAUACUGGGCGUCUUGGGCCAACUAGGGGCAGCCGGAACAAGCGGUGGAGCGGUGAAAUGCGUAGAUAUCGCUUGGAACGCCGAAGGUGAAAACAGGCUGCUGGGGUUGCGCCGACGCUGAGACACGAAAGCCAGGGGAGCAAACGGG